rnacentral:rRNA from 1 species
AUUGAACGCUGGCGGCAGGCCUAACACAUGCAAGUCGAACGAGUGGCGGACGGGUGAGUAAUGUCUGGGAAACUGCCUGAUGGAGGGGGACUACUACUGGAAACGGUUGCUACUACCGCAUACCAUCGGAUGUCCCCUGAUGGGAUUAGCUAGUAGGUGGGGUAAAGGCUAACCUAGGCGAUGAUCCCUAGCUGGUCUGAGAGGAUGACCAGCCACACUGGAACUGAGACACGGUCCAGACUCCUACGGGAGGCAGCAGUGGGGAAUAUUGCACAAUGGGCGCAAGCCUGAUGCAGCCAUGCCGCGUGUAUGAAGAAGGCCUUAGGGUUGUAAAGUACUUUCAGCGGGGAGGCGUUACCCGCAGAAGAAGCACCGGCUAACUCCGUGCCAGCAGCCGCGGUAAUUC